UCGAGCGGACGUAGUAAUACGUCAGCGGCAGACGGGUGAGCAACGCGUGGGAACGUACCUUUUGGUUCGGAACAACACAGGGAAACUUGUGCUAAUACCGAAUAAGCCCUUACGGGGAAAGAUUUAUUGCCAAAAGAUCGGCCCGCGUCUGAUUAGCUAGUUGGUGGGGUAACGGCCCACCAAGGCGACGAUCAGUAGCUGGUCUGAGAGGAUGAUCAGCCACAUUGGGACUGAGACACGGCCCAAACUCCUACGGGAGGCAGCAGUGGGGAAUAUUGGACAAUGGACGAAAGCCUGAUCCAGCCAUGCCGCGUGAGUGAUGAAGGCCCUAGGGUUGUAAAGCUCUUUUGUGCGGGAAGAUAAUGACGGUACCGCAAGAAUAAGCCCCGGCUAACUUCGUGCCAGCAGCCGCG
rnacentral:rRNA from 1 species